ACCGGCCGCGGUGGUGGCGCUGUGCGCGCGGUUGCAGCGUGAGGCAGUGAGUGGCGCUUCCUCACCAGUGAGUAACACUUGGUGAGCGCCCUCUGUGAGGCAGGAAAACGGAAGGAAGUGGAAUUGUCAGAGAUCACAUGUUGAGCUCCCAGAGUGGUGGAAAUGUGUUAGAGCCAUCAGACUAAAUGAACAUGUGAGGUUUCCAGAAAGCCUAAGAAAGAGGUUCAUGAAGAUUACCCCUUGGCAAUCCCACAAACCUCAGGACAUUUUUGUGGCCUUGAGAAGAGAAGAUCUAACCCAAAUUUACAGGAUCCUUCAUGCUUGGAAGCUGCCAUUACCUUAAUAGGAUUCAUGGGAUGUAUGGAUGCCUCCUGGGUAUGGAAACAGCAAUUCUCCUGCUAGAAUCUAACCAGAUGCUUGCUGACAAGGAUGUAUAUGAAGUGUACUUUGUUGAUUUUCAACCACUGGGUCACCUUUACUGAAAGUUACCUUUCGACUACAAGGCAAGUGGCCUUAGGCUGAUCCUUAACGCAAGAGGAGCAGAGCCGACACCUGACAUCUGAUUAUGUCACUGCAUUGUAUCUGGGGCCUACCUUAAGAGAAUUUCCUGUCAUAUAAGGAAACACUGGGAGCAUCCUUCAUUUGACAUCACUCUCUGAGAGCAAAAACAUUUAAUUACUGACAUGAGAUCCUGGAUGACAUUUCAUUAGGCUAAAGGGUCCACUAAAUAGCAUGGGAGAUAUAAUAGUUCAUAUAGCUAAGGCCCAUUAAUCCUAUCACAUGCUCCUGGAGCGGCCCAGUGCAGAUAAGAAGCUGAACUUUCCCUGAUUGACUGGAUACCACCCAAGCCAGAAUGGACUAUACCUGUGCAGUGCCUUGAUCUGAAUUCUGACCUUAUGUCCUGCCUGAGUGAGGGGGCUGCUGGAAAGAGGGUGGAACUGAGCAGCCAUUUUGUGAACCUUUAAAAGGGAGUGAUCCGGGCCUCCCUAGUGGCGCAGGAGUUAAAGUCUCACCACUAUCAAGCUACCACCAGCCACUGCUGCAUAAGUUUCAUCCCUAGCCAGGGAGCUACUCACAUGGCACAGCAGACCUCUCCUGAUUCGCCCGCUGCUUCCCUCAGCAGUGUAUAUCAAUAGAUCCGCCUCUGUGAGAUCACACUGCCUCUGGUGAAUCCUCUCACCCCAGGCACCUCUGGCCUACACCUCAGUUCUUGU